CGGGGGCUAGUGCCUUUCCCACCACCCAUUGUGCCGCGCCAAGGGCCGCGUCGGCCAUCGAUCCCCUGAUCGGAUGCAGGGAUGGAGGAUGUUCUGCGCACCUGCACUGGUCCAGGAACCANNNNNNNNNNNAUCGGCCAUCCCCUGAUCGUAUGCAGGGAUGGAGGAUGUUCUGCGCACCUGCACUGGUCCAGGAACCAACAAAAGUUGAUAAAUCUUGGCUGCUGGUAGCUGCAAAUUAAAGGAGAGAGCAGGUAUGUACGUUGACACGCACACGAGGUGUCGGUCUGCCGGUGAUGGAAGCCGCUGCCGUCUGCCUAGNNNNNNNNNNGAAAGGAGAGAUCAGUAGGUAUGUACGUUGACGCGCGCACGAGGUGUCGGUCUGCCGGUGAUGGAAGCCGCUGCCGUCUGCCUAGUCCCAGCUAGCUACAAAAAGGGGGUUGUGUUGAGUCUCUGUCAUUGAGACUUUGAGAGAGAAAGGGAGAGAGAGAGAGGGAGGGGGGAGGGGGUCUGAUUUUGGUACCUGCUGGUGAUGUGCAGCGGUGGUACGGCUGGUCCUGUCACCGUCGCCGUGGUGACAGGAGAGUGCAAGGUGACUGCACUGCAGGCAGGUGAGGAGGCGACGAGAGCUGCGCUGCUGACUGCAAGGUGGAGCAGCAGGGUCGGGAGUGGGGAGCAGGGGCAGGACGAACGCCGGUGGUGAGAAGAGAUCAAGCUGUGGAGAGCGACAGUGCGAAAGAGAGGGUGAGCUUAGUGAGUGUUUAGCCCUCAAACGGAUCUGAUCUAGUACUCCUACAUCGGAUGCUCACUGUUAUCU
rnacentral:lncRNA from 1 species